AGAUGAGCGGCACCUUCGUUCCGCUCUACGGCCUGAACAACAUGUUCGGGCAAAUUCCAAUCGUCGGACUGUUCCUUGGCGGCGGCAGCAAUGAAGGCUUGAUCGGCAUCACCUACGAAGUCGUCGGAACGCCCGGUGCGCCGGUUCUCAGGGUCAAUCCGAUUUCGGCGAUGGCGCCCGGCGUGUUCCGCAAGAUCUNUUCAACACUGGCCGGCAGGCCGUUCCCACCGACCUCACCACGCCCCAGCAGUGACAGCAUUUNUGACAGCAUUUCAGGUUCAGGAUCCGGAUUUCGAGGCGCGCGUCCGAAAGACAUUCGCCGG
rnacentral:misc_RNA from 1 species